rnacentral:tRNA from 1 species
GGGUCGUAGCUCAGUUGGCAGAGCAUCUGCUUUGCAAGCAGGCGGUCGCCGGUUCGAAUCCGGCCGGCUCC